GAUGUAGUUACCCUCGGGAGAUGCGAUUCUGCUGUAACUCAUUAUCCCUCUUAUUCAUCAUGUUUUCCCUCUGACCCGUCCUCCUUUUCUUCCCUCUAUUUUGUAUUUCCCCAUUUUCCCCCUUCGCAUCUUUCUCCCAUCUUAGAAAAAAAAUACAUGCCCAGAGUUGCUGUUUUUGGAGCUGCAUGUGUCGUCCUAUGCAUGGUAGGCCUGUCCGUACUUCUCUUUGUUGUAGUCUGGGUAUGUUGUUCUGUAGGGCUGUGUGAUGGUGUGCGGAUGGUGAUAGGGGAGAUGGGUGAUGAAGAAAUGGUGUUAGAUGGUGAAGAAAAGUCAUUAGUGAUAAGGAAAGGAGUAGAUGGUGAUGGAUAGUGAAUAGUUGAAGGUGAUAGGUGAUGGUGAUGGUAGAAUGAAGAUGAAAGGUUGAGUAGAUGAUAGGCAACUGAAGGUCAUGAUAGUGGAACAAAAAAAUAUAUAAUGUAGCUUCUUGUACUGCAUCAAAAUUAUACUAAAACAUUAUCUGGGCUUAUUUGAGGUAUAUUAUAGUGGAAAAUGUGUUUAUUGGUCAAAGUUUAUAUGUAUUUCAGAUCAUUUUAAACUUGCCUCCCCACACACACACCCUCCCCUCACCUUUAUCCAAUUAUUAUGUGAGAGAGGCAGUUUGAUAAUGGUGGGACGCUUCACAGUAAUCAUCUGCUAAGUUAAUUGAUUACUAUAUCUAUUUAACAUAACCUCAGACACCCUUCCUACAACCCCCAUUUAUAUAACUUACAUGAGGAGGUUAGUUGAAUAAUUAAGAGAAUUUCCAUAGUAGUUAUUUGCAUAAGACUAGUGUAUAUAUGUGUGUGUGUGUGUGUGUGUUGCUCUCUCUAUCUCUAGUAUUGUGGGAGGCAUUGUAUAGUUGUGCAUUUUUUAUAGAUUUGUCUGUGUCUGUCUGUGUUCAUUCUGUUACUUUAUUUUUGUUUUGUUUUUCAUUUGAUUUUGCAUCACCGCCAUCCUCCUCCUCCUCCUCCUCCUCCUCCGUCUCACCCCAUUCCUUCCUUUUCCUUUCCUUUAUUCUCCAUUCUUUCCUUCCUUUUCUUUCCCUCUCUUCCUCUCUUUCUCUUUGCCUUCCUUUCCUCCAUAUUUCCCUCUUUCCUUCUUUAUCUCCUCCCGAACACACAACCUCCUCUGUUUUCCCUCCCUCCCUUUUUCUCCCAUCCUUACCUCCCCAACACACAACCUCUUCUGUUUUCCCUCCCUCCCUCUCUCCCUUCCUCCCUCCUUCCUUCCUUACCUCCCCCAACACACAAUCUAUUAAGUUUUCCCUCCCUCCAUUCUCUCCCUUCCUCCCUCCCUUGGUUGACUAGUGCAUUAGUAUAUAAGUGGGUCAUAGUCUAAGCCUGGGUAGCCAUUCCCCUGUGUUGGCCAAAAUUAUAUUCCUUCAAUUUCUUUCUUUUUCAGUAUGGUGUGAGGGAGUAUGUCAUAUUAUUUGUCCUGUAUUGCUAUUUUUAAGUUAGUGUAUUACGAAUGGGGGUAAUUUUAUAUAUAUGUUUGUGUGUGUGUAUGUUUUUAUUAUGGUGUUUUUUUGUGCGUUGGGGAUGUGGUUUGGGGAGUCAUUUUUCAUUGUUUAUUUGUAUUUAUUGUGUACAUGUGUUUUUGUGAGCCGUCAUCUCUCUCUGUUUCCAGUAAUGCGACAGUACUUUAUUUAUCAUUUUCAAGGGUUUUUUUAUCAGCAUUUUUGAGGAUUUUUUAUCAGCAUUUUUGGGGAUUUUUUAUUAACAUUUUCAGCAUUUUUGAGGAUUUUUUAUGAUCAUUUUCAGCAUUUUCAAGGAUUUUUUAUAAUUUUCAGCAUUUUUAAGGAUUUUUUAGUAUCAUUUUCAGUACUUUCAAGGGGUUUUUAUCAGCAUUUUCAGCAUUUUCAAGGAUCUUUAUUAUCAUUUUCAGCAUUUUCAAGGAUUUUUUAGUAUUUUCAGCAUUUUCAAGGAUUUUUUACUAUAAUUUUCAACUAACAUUAUCAUUAGUAAGGUGUAUAUAUAUUUUUCCCCUGAUUAUCUACUAUUAUUAUUAUUAUUAUUAUUAUUAUUAUUAUUAUUAUUAUUAUUAUUAUUAUUAUUAUUAUUAUUAUUAUCUCCAUUCUAAGUAGAUGAAUACCACUUCUAUACCUACCUUUCUCUCCUAAUUGCCUACCUACCUGCUUUCUACCUGCUGUUUGAGUACUCUUAUUAUUAGUAUAUAUUCAUCAUGGUUAUACGUUUAGAGUUUGGUCCGUGUUCUGAGACAGUUUCGGCCCUCAACAACUUUUUCCCAAGGCCACAGGGGAGGUUAGUUGGAUUCUCAUAAGUGUUAACAUUCAUGGUACAGAACCCUUGUCAAACUAUCACUAGGCUCAUUAAACUACCCAUGGAAAUACUAACUUAUGAAAUCCUUGUCAAACUUUCACUAGGCUCAUAAAACUACCCAUGGAAACACUAACACAAUGACCUCUACCAAAGCCUUGUCAAA